AGUGAACGCUGGCGGUAGGCCUAACACAUGCAAGUCGAACGGCAGCACAGUAAGAGCUUGCUCUUACGGGUGGCGAGUGGCGGACGGGUGAGGAAUACAUCGGAAUCUACUUUUUCGUGGGGGAUAACGUAGGGAAACUUACGCUAAUACCGCAUACGACCUACGGGUGAAAGCAGGGGAUCUUCGGACCUUGCGCGAUUGAAUGAGCCGAUGUCGGAUUAGCUAGUUGGCGGGGUAAAGGCCCACCAAGGCGACGAUCCGUAGCUGGUCUGAGAGGAUGACAACACACACUGAAAAUGAGACAGGUCCAAGCCUCAUAGGGGAGGCAGCGGUGGGAAAUAUUGAAAAAUGGGGGCAAGUCUGCACCACCCAUACCGGGGGGGAGAAGAGGGCUUUCGGUUUGAAAGCCCUUUUUGUGGGAAAAAAAAAGCAGGAGUUUAACCCCCCGCUGUUCUGAGGGUACCAAAAAAAUAGACCCCGGCUAUCUUCGGC
rnacentral:rRNA from 1 species